CGGAACGCAGGCGUUAGGUUCACCCAAACGUCACGUCCGGGAUGUCGCAUUCGUUCUUUGUUUUUCGCGUCCGUGAUGUCACAUCCGUCUUUGGUUUUGGCGGCAGAAUGGCAAGCUCAAAGGUGAGCUACGCUCAAACAACUGGACAAAGAUGUGGAUCGUUUAUUUUUUGGGGCUUGUGCUAGCGUAAGCUAUCGAAGCCAUCAUCUGGUGCUGUGUACAGCAAGCACAUGCUUCGGGCAAGGAGGGAGCCAGCACCAUAUCUACAUCAGCAAGAACCUCGGUGCUCAAAAUAAAAAUUUUCUGUGCAAA
rnacentral:lncRNA from 1 species